rnacentral:rRNA from 1 species
AGUUCGGAUUGUAGUCUGCAACCCGACUACAUGGAGCCGGAAUCGCUAGUAAUCGCGGAUCAGAAUGCCGCGGUGAAUACGUUCCCGGGUCUUGUACACACCGCCCGUCACACCAUGGGAGUCGGAAAUGCCCGAAGCCGGUGACCCAACCCGAAAGGGAGGGAGCCGUCGAAGGCAGGUCGGAUGACUGGGGUGAAGUCGUAACAAGGUAAC